rnacentral:rRNA from 1 species
AAAAACAUUUCUUACAUAAAUAUUUGUAAGUAGCACCUGCUCAAUGAAUAAUAUUUAAAUAGCCGCGGAAUAUUAACCGUGCUAAGGUAGCAUAAUCAUUAGCCUCUUAAUUAGAGGCUCGUAUGAAAGGUGUAACACUUCAUACUCUUUAUUAAAUAAUAUUAUUAAAGUUAAACUAAGAAUAAAAAUGUUCUUAUAAAAGAAAUAGACGAUAAGACCCUUUUGAACUUUACUUUAGUUUAGCUGGGGCAGCUAAAAAAUAAUUACCUUUUAUUUAUACUUUCCAUAAUUGACCCAAUAAACUUGAUUAAAUGAACAAUGUUACCAUAGGGAUAACAGCGUAAUAUAUUUUUAAAGUUCUUAUUUAAAAAAAAGCUUGCGACCUCGAUGUUGAAUUAGUGUAACUUACCGGUGCAAUAACUGAAAAAGUAGGUCUGUUCGACCUUUGAAACAUUACAUGAUCUGAGUUCAAA